rnacentral:tRNA from 1 species
UAUUAGUUAUCUUAAUUUAAAAGAGUUGAAUUUUUAAUUCAAAAAUAAUAAAUUUUAUUACUAAUAA